rnacentral:rRNA from 1 species
AUGGACGCGAUGAGCAGCGCGGUGUUGCAGGGGGCGUGGAGGAAGGGGCCAUGGACGGCGCUGGAGGACCGGCUGCUGACCGAGUACGUGCAGCAGCAGGGCGAGGGCAGCUGGAACUCCGUCGCCAAGCUCACCGGGCUGCGGCGGAGCGGCAAGAGCUGCCGGCUGCGGUGGGUGAACUACCUCCGGCCGGACCUGAAGCGGGGCAAGAUCACCGCCGACGAGGAGACCGUCAUCCUCCAGCUCCACGCCAUGCUCGGCAACAGGUGGUCGGCGAUCGCGCGGUGCCUGCCGGGGAGGACGGACAACGAGAUCAAGAACUACUGGCGGACGCACUUCAAGAAGGCGCGGCCGUCCAGGCGGGCCAGGGCGCAGCUGCUGCACCAGUACCAGCUCCAGCAGCAGCAGCAGCACCGCCAGUACCUCCACGCGCUGCACCUCCUCCAGCAGCAGCAGCAGCAGAUGCAGAUGCAGCUACAGGAGAAUCACCACCACCAGCAGCAGCAGCAGGCGAUGAUGAUGGCGCAGCAGAGCCCGCCGGAGGAGGACCAGGCCGUGAUCACCGCCGUCGGCAACAUGAACAGCAUGGAGACUGCAGAGUGCUACUGCCCGUGCCCGGCGGCGUCGGCGGUGCUCGACCUCCCGCUCCCGGCCGACGACGAGGACGCGCUGUGGGACAGCCUCUGGCGGCUCGUCGACGGCGAGGACGGCUCCAGCGGAGGCGACUCAGGCGAGUACUAG